GGAGGGACUUUGGAGGAUUUAGACCCCCUCAUCGAAUACUCUACUAAACCUCUUAAAAUAAAGUCUUCAUUAAGUAAAUAUUAAGUAUACAUAAUCAAUAUUAUUGAGCUCAAGCUACUUUAAAAAAUAUUAUAGUAUUAUUUUUGCUUAUGAUUUUUGUGUAAAGUUUGAUUUUAAAAUUCAUUGUCUCCUCUGCCAAGAAGACCUACGACACUUAUGGGGAUAAGUACCAGAAAGCAGAAACAAUUUAUUAUUAAUAGAUUUAAGAAAAAUAUGUCCUAGGGUAAUGGGGACGGGCACAGCCACUGUUAUAGAUAAUUCAAUAUAUACUUGUAAGCAACAAUAAACCAUUACUUAUGAAAAAACGAUUCUGAGCGGAGUUCAAUUUCUUUAAAAUUGUAUGCCUUUCUAAAGCAACGCAUUCUUCAAGGGUUUCUUAUACCCUAGCGACGGCUCUGGGUAUCAACUAUAGCCAUUGAAUUAUUUCCUAAGAAAAGUAUUUUAUAUAGUAUAAUCAUAUUUUGAUAGACGCUAUAAAUAGGUAUUUGAAAAACACGAUACAAAAUACCCAGUGAAAAGUUUCAAAAAUUAACGUAUUUAAUUAUUUAUUACUUACUGAAUUUUGAAUAGUUUUAUCA